UACGAAGGGUGCAAGCGUUACUCGGAAUUACUGGGCGUAAAGCGUGCGUAGGUGGUUUGUUAAGUCUGCUGUGAAAUCCCCGGGCUCAACCUGGGAAUGGCAGUGGAUACUGGCAAGCUAGAGUGCGGUAGAGGGUAGUGGAAUUCCCGGUGUAGCGGUGAAAUGCGUAGAGAUCGGGAGGAACACCAGUGGCGAAGGUGGCUACCUGGACCAGCACUGACACUCAGGCACGAAAGCGUGGGGAGCAAACAGG
rnacentral:rRNA from 1 species